UUUCUGGUUUUUAAUUUUGUUUGCAUGAAAGCCACACGUUUUGCCCGAAACGUAAUGGUCCAUUGUAAGGGCCACCUCAUGUGUUUCAUUUUGCAACAUUUUGCAUCAGUAAUAAAUGGAUGUUUUUGUAGUUAAAAGCGGUGUUCCCUGUUUUUCAUUUAAUUUUGCAGUUUUAAAAACAAAUAAAUGGCAAUGUUUUUCGUUCUAUUUCCUUUUGAAUUUGUCUCGGUCCAACCUCAAAAGUGAUUACCCUUCUGAUCUCAUCGAUAACAAUUUGGUUACAUCUCUGUAUGACUUCGACAAUCCGAUCUAUCAUGCCAAA
rnacentral:lncRNA from 1 species